rnacentral:lncRNA from 13 species
UGUUCUUUAAACAUGUCAAUCCCUGUUUACAGUAAUGUAGAACAAUCAUUCUGUUCUUUAAACAUGUCAAUCCCUGUUUACAGUAAUGUAGAACAAUCAUUCUGUCCUUAAAACAUGUUAAUCCACAUUUACAGUAAUGUAGAACAAUCAUUCUGUUCUUUAAACAUGUCAAUCCCUGUUUACAGUAAUGUAGAACAAUCAUUCUGUUCUUUAAACAUGUCAAUCCCUGUUUACAGUAAUGUAGAAC